ensembl:lncRNA
CAAACUGUGGCAUAAAGGCAGUAUUAUGGUAUUACAGUGCUGAGUGAUUUAUUAGCGGCCUUGCCGUGGAGGACACCAUUAGCAUCGAAGCGUAUAGCCUUAGCCUGUCUGAGCCUCCACCUGUAGCAUGGAGCAGUCAGUCCUCCACAAGUAUGACUGCACAGAUCUCAUGUUUCUGUGCUCGUUUUUAAAUUGUGGUCAUUAACUGCCAUGUCUGAUUAAUUUCUAAGCCGAAUAAUUCUGACAGCUGCCAAUUUGGUUCACGUACCGCAGACUGAAUGGGGGAGCUGCAAAGCUGGGAAGGAUGCUACGGCCUGGGCGAAGGCACUCUGGCUGGCACGGUGACACAUCCAGACCCUCUAGACUGGCGACAGAGUACAGCCUAAAAUACAUAUUGAUCAGGGAGCUAUUUAGUCAAAGUAAAGGCUUCCAAGCAUCUGAGGACCCACGUUAGUUUCUAUCCUAGAUAAGCCUCUACUUACAAAUCCGUGACUGCGUCCACGUUAUUUUCAGAGCUCGGAUUUGAACUUUGCAGUGUUCGGUUUCACCGUCAGGUUAUUAAUAGAAUUAUUUAUUAUCGUUAUCCUUAUUUAUUCAUUAUGUAUAUUUCUGUUUAUCCAGGCCUCCCUGGAUGUGAGGAGUUUCCGGGUUUUGUCCAGAACUCUGCCACGCAAGUACAACGUCCGGCCUGAGCUUAAAGAGUUGUGAGAGGAGCACCUGAGUGUCAUUGGUCGGAAUAAUCCUCCACGCGUCUGGAAGCAGCGAGAACACCGAGCCGCCGGAGAGCAGGCCAAGGCUGGUCGCCCUCCGUGAUGGGCAGCAGCGGAAAACCUUCAGCAGAAAGCGAAGAGUGAGGACAAACGUGAGAGGAAUCCACGGUGAGCAUCCGCAGAGCCUGCACCAUUGUCUCGUGGUUACACCACUGUGUGCAUCACUCGCCGGCCUCUUCGCAUCAGGUACAAAUCCAGCGUUUUGUCUGGGGUUCAUCACUAGCUAUAAGAAAGUUUUCUGCAUCCUGACUUUGGCACUGAGCUUUGUUUGGGGCGGGGGGAGGGUUGGGGUGGAAAGCCUCUCCUGCUACCAAAUUGUCUAUUCUAGGUCGAAAUCUGUGUUGCAGCUGAAAUGCUGACAAAAGCACAGAAUACAGAGCUGCUAAUACAAUGCUAUAGCAGCAAUUUGGUUUGCUAUCACACAGUAAAUAAGAGCUACCUGAUAUUCUUUGAUCAGCCUCUUUUCUUUCUGUUAUAAACUGAAUGUGUUGACAAAUUAUGUCACCAAAAAGAAAUUCAAGUCUUUGAUGAAAUAAGAGGAAACAUGCACAUGCUGGAAGCUUUGAAAUGUGCUUAAAUAGAAUGGAAUGUGCUUUUUGCAUAGCUGCUGUCUUGCUCGAGGUGCCUGACAAAAGCUGGGUCAGGAUCUAGGCAACUCCCGGCCAACGUCCUCCUGCUGCAGGCCAGGAGCAGCCGCUGCGCGCUCCAAAGCAAUCCCCACUUGAGACAAGUGGUUUUAACCAGACCACGGGAGUUAUAGCCAGAUGUUGCUCAUUCUGCCAUAGGCUUUUUAACAGGCGCUUGGCACAGGUUCUAUACGUAGGUAGAAACGAAUGCUGCUUUAGAAGAAAGGCACCUCUGACAGAACCGCACUGUGCAAUGUCGAGUGGCGGUGAGGAAUUGGGAAGGUGUGAGAUUUGGAUCCGUGGCUUUCCGAUGAGCUGUGCAAAACUUCAGUAAUAACAUAACAGAGGUGCUUGAGGGGUUUGGCAAAGCUUAAUCGGAGUGCAAUUCGAGGCUUCAGUGAACUGUUUCCCAAAAUGUUACACAGAUCAAAUACUGCAGAAGACCCACUGAAAUGGAAACCGAAAGGCUUCCCCACCUCUGCUUUUUGAAAAACCUGAAGGUGCCAAGUCCAGUGAGGUAGCCUAGACAAGGAUGAGGUAUAAAGUUAGAGCGUAGACUGGGAUCUGAAUUUUUGCAGAGUCUGGAGCCACUUAGAGCCAAACUUUUAGUUUGCUCCAUGACAGAAUACGCGGCUGCCCCUUGCGUUCUCCCUGCUCCGAGCUUUCCUGAAGUGUAGGAAGAGCGAAGCUGGAGCUCUUAGUGAAGCCAUUUUUAGUUCCGAUGUAAAUAAAUCGCUCUGCAGACAAGCCCUCUGAAAGCUG